GCAAGCGUUGUUCGGAUUUACUGGGCGUAAAGGGCGCGUAGGCGGCCANCACAAGUCAGUUGUGAAAUCUCCGNGCUUAACUCGGAAAGGUCAACUGAUACUGUGCGGCUAGAGUGCNGAAGGUGCAACUGGAAUUCUUGGUGUAGCGGUGAAAUGCGAAGAUAUCNAGAGGAACACCUGCGGCGAAGGCGGGUUGCUGGGCUGACACUGACGCUGAGGCGCGAAAGCUAGGCGAGCGAACGGGAUUAGAUACCCCGGUAGUCCUNGCCUUAAACGAUGAAUGCUUGGUGUCUGGGGUUAUAUAGUCCCCGGGUGCCGCCGCUAACGCUUUAAGCAUUCCGCCU
rnacentral:rRNA from 1 species